CAGGGUAACAAAAGGGAAAAAAUGGCCUCCAGGAGCAGUGGAUUCGUGGUGCACUGAGCCCCAGCAAUAACCCUGGAGGAAAAAAAAGAAAAUAUGUUAUCUCAGGGGCUGGGCAGUGGUGCACACAUUACAAUGUGGAAGGAUACAGGUUUAAGCCUUCAAUCUCUACCUGCAGAAGGAUGCUUCACUAGUGGUGAAGAAGUAUUUCAAGUAUCUCUCUUUUUCUUUCCCUCUCUAUCUCCCUUUCCUCAAUCAAUUUCUCUCUGACCUAUUAAAUAAAAAAAAAAAAUCUUAAAAAAAAAUUACCUGGGGAGAUUAGGGGAAAUAGCAUAAUGGUUAUGCAAAGAGUCUUUCAUGCCUGAGGUUCCAAAGUUCCAGGUUCAAUCCUCCACACCAGCACACACACAAAGAAAUAAUCAUGUGGGGACUUUUCAAACAAAACAAAACAAAACAAAAACAUACAAACAACAACUGUUGGCAGGAUCCACCUCAGAUUUACUAAAUCAGAGAGUAAGGUCUGGACAAAGGACCUAAAGAUAUUAAAUUAUUUGUCAAAGGUUGAAAAGUAGUAUCUGUCUUUAUCCUUGUAGUUGCAUAACUCCAAGCUUAAACUGUGGCUUUGCUAGUAAGGAAUUAAAUCCAUGUCCUAGUUAAUCAAUGAUUGAGCAAUAAAUCAGGAAUGAAAGGACUAAUUUCACUGCAGUCUGACUUUUCAUAUUCACCUUUCUCUCUCUCUCUCUCUCUCUAUUUUUCUUUUUCUACCAGGACUUGGUGCCUGCAUGGCUACACUAUUCCCAGUGCCCAUUCUCUCCCCCCCCCCCCGCUUCCUUUUCUUUCUUUUUUUAUAGAAGGUAUGAUAGAGAGGAGAGAUACCUGCAGUAUUGUUCUAACACUCAUGAAGCUUCCCCCAUCCUGCAGGUGGGAACUAGGGACUUAAACCUGGGUCCUUGCAGGUGGUAACAUGUGCAUUCCAGCAGAACAGUUACAACUGACUUAUCCAACUCAGAGUCACUUGGACUGAAUUCCUGUGGACAUAUGAGCAAGAGGGGGGAAAAAAGGAAAGAAGAUUGAGUGCCUGUCAGUGGUGCACCCAGUAGAAUGCAUACAUUAUUACUAUGGGCAAGGAUCCAGGUUCAGGGCCCCAGUCCCCACCUACAGAGGGAAGCUUCAAGAGAGGUGAAGCAGUGCUAUAGGUGUGUGUCUUUCUCUCCCUCCCUUCCAUCUCAAUGUCUAUAUCUA